rnacentral:tRNA from 1 species
GUUUGUAGCUCAGCGGAUAGAGCGUCUGUCUCCGGAACAGAAGGUCGAGGGUUCGAUCCCCUUCAAACC